rnacentral:lncRNA from 1 species
GCUACUUCAGUUGAACUUAAAGGAAGAUAAUCAGGUCCUUGCUUAAUCUUUGAUCCGCGUUCCAGUAUUCAGACUGCCCCCGUGCUAGUGACUUUCUCCUUUGUAUUUGGCGGCUGCCUCGUGUUUCCGUCACUGCUGCUCUUGAGAUCUGGGCCGAUCCCAGCUUGCUCGUUUUACACAUGGCAUAAUGACUUUGUUCCUUACCUCUUUCUUAUAUAACCUCUGAAAAGCUGCUUUCCGUGCUCUUGGCACUGAGCCAACCCAUCCUGUAUGAUUUUUACAUUUUUAAGCUACAAUGUUUGAGGCUGCCAUAAGCCAUGUUGUGAGCUUUUUAAAGAAGAUAUGAGUGUCUGAGACUUUCGUUGCUGGGUGUUAAGAACGACGCGGCAAAUGCAAGCAGACUGCAGCUUUGCACUGCGGGAGUGGGCGCGCGACCAGAGCUCCAGGAAGGCAACAGCUGACCUUGUAUUUCCAGAGCUGGGACAGUCGCCUGACACUAGUGGAUCCCAGGAAAUUGAAAGCAUCUGGAAGGAAAUAGAUUCCUGUAACUGGAGUCAGUGGAGUCAAGGGUAUGAACUUGUAAAGAACUCUGUUAAGCCAAGCAGCUCUCGAGGAGGUUGCUUCAAUCAGAAUGUUUGAGCGCCCACUGCCCUGCAUCCUAGUAAGUAUCAUGUAUGAACAAUUAGAGGUUAUUUAUGGAAGACACUGAAGUCAGCACAGAGCAUCAGGAUUGUAUAGUUCUCGGUACUGUCUUAUUUGGGUUGAUCUGCCUUCGUUAUGGGAGAAGACAAUAGCAAAGCUGUUCAGUUUAAGUAGAAAUGGCUACACUAGCACAGGGUGACACUAUUAAAUUUAAAUUCAGACCAAAAAAAUCUAUCUUACGUUUAUGAAAGUCUAAGCUUUUAGGAAAUUCAGGUACAGUACAGAAGAAAAUAGAGCAUCAAUUUAAAUCAUAUUUAAAAGAAAAUAUCUUGCAACAAGCACUUGAACCAAAGUUUUUUAAAAAGUAUGUGCACUCUCCAGUAGGAAGCAUGUAUGUUUGGGAAACAAAUUGUGCAAAUUAAUUCCAUGUGCAAUCAGAGAAUAAUCAUUUCAUGUUAUUAUGCUUUAACGUAAGGGAGAAAGAGAAAUUCUUGCUUUCCUUUGGUGGUUGGAUUAUGUUGUAUUACUUGUGCCAAGUUCUUUUAUACAUUCUCUCUAAUACUCACAAACCUCAGCAAGGAAGAUUUUUUGGUUCUGAUUUUACAGAUUAGGAAUCAGGCUGAGAGAAGUGAGAAACUCAUAGGCGGGUAUUGGAGCCAAGGUUUGUCUGAGUUCAGAACUGAAUCAUUCCACAGGCCCGAGGACUCCCCGAAAGAUACAAUAAGGUUCUGUGUGAGAGAAAAUGAGGGAGACCCUGACCCUGGCCGGUGACAAAAAGGGCCGAUGAUACAAAACUAUAACCUCCCUCUCUGGUGGCCUGAAGUGGAAAU